GACGAACGCUGGCGGCGUGCCUAAUACAUGCAAGUAGAACGCUGAAGAGAGGAGCUUGCUCUUCUUGGAUGAGUUGCGAACGGGUGAGUAACGCGUAGGUAACCUGCCUGGUAGCGGGGGAUAACUAUUGGAAACGAUAGCUAAUACCGCAUAACAACAGUUGUUGCAUGACAGCUGUUUAAAAGAUGCAAUUGCAUCACUACCAGAUGGACCUGCGUUGUAUUAGCUAGUUGGUGAGGUAACGGCUCACCAAGGCGACGAUACAUAGCCGACCUGAGAGGGUGAUCGGCCACACUGGGACUGAGACACGGCCCAGACUCCUACGGGAGGCAGCAGUAGGGAAUCUUCGGCAAUGGGGGGAACCCUGACCGAGCAACGCCGCGUGAGUGAAGAAGGUUUUCGGAUCGUAAAGCUCUGUUGUAAGAGAAGAACGGGUGUGAGAGUGGAAAGUUCAUACUGUGACGGUAGCUUACCAGAAAGGGACGGCUAACUACGUG
rnacentral:rRNA from 1 species